rnacentral:lncRNA from 1 species
AUUGUAGUUUAAAAUUAGACCGUCUAAGCAAGACCUUAGAAGAAUAAAACUUUAAACCCCAAUUAACUAAUGAAAAUAUGUAGGGAUGUGCUGAUACACUGGGACAUUUUUUAAUGGGCUAUAACUCCUGAUUUUUUUAAAAAUUUUACAGAUUUUUUUAAAUUACAAAACCUUGUCAAAGCAGGUCCAGAAGAGGACAGGCCAAUACGACGUGUACAGGGUUUACCUUGGUCAAGUACUUCACAAUCGAUUUCUUGAGUAGACUUGAAUCUCUAAUUCCUUCUAAAAAUAAUAUUCUAUAGGGUUCAAAUCGGGAGAGUAAGAGGGCCAAGUCUGUGGGCACCAAAAGUCGACAUUUUCCUCCUUCAGCAAGUCGAGGUGCUUCUUGGCCUUGUGAUCAAGGACUGAGUCCUGGUGGAAGGUGAACUGUUGCCCCCAUCGCUGGCUUUCAUCUACGUGAUGACUUUGUCCUUCAUCAGCUCGCAGUAAUUGUCAUGGCUGACUCUCUCUUUUAGUUUAAAGAAAACCCAACAACAUGAUCAAGACUGGAAACUUGGUUGCGUAGUCCAUGGGGACCUUCUCCUUUGUAUCAGCUAAGAAGCGGUCGCUUUGACUGUUGUAUACUUUGUUUACAGUUUAUUUCUUCACGUCACUGAAGAAAGUUACAGGACCACACUUAUCCUUUAAGAGUUUCUAUAAUUUGGUGCUCCUUGUUGACUGGACUUCCUUUAUUUUUGAUGUCAGGAUGUGCCUCUUCCAUUAUUUGUAGUAAACCAGCUUCAACUCGGUCUUUAUUGCCCUGUGGACUGUCUGCAUGCUACCUCCGUGGUUUUUUUUUGUGGGCAUGGUCAUUAGUCGCCUCAAUCCAUCUUUUGAGGCCCACAAGACAAGAGGAACUCCUCUUCUUGUCACUUCUUGUACUGUAGGCUUCUGUUCAAACUGGCCAGUUAGUUUCCACUUGUCGUAGAUACUGUAGACCGUCGAAUUGUGGUACGAUAGCAUCUUGACGAUCGCAGGAGACUUGUGUCUCGCACAAAUCAUUUCAACAACGGCGGACCUUUUCCUCUGCUCAAUGUUUGUAUGUCUACCUAUUUGAAUGAAACUUUUUUUGCUUGAAAUAAACUCCCAACAUAGCCUACAGAGUGGGAUACUUGUUUCCAGAGUUGGAGAAAUGAACUAAAGGCCUCUGUGGGAGAUUAUUUCCAAUGGAACGUCAAAUGGUGAUGUCCCAUGUAUGCACAAUCUUCGUGUACAUGUAGUUGUGUGUGUGUCAGAGAUAAGAAUGGCUUCUAGCCAACGACAAAAACGAUCUAUUAUUGUAAAAUGAUGGAAGAACCCGUGAGAGGAGAGAAAGUAGCCUACUAGAUCGACACGAAUAUCAAAGAAACGUGAAGUAGGAGUAGGAUUCUGGAUGGGUGUUGAUCUAGUAUGUCUACUUAUGACAUUUAAUACAUUAACUAAGCAAAAGUUUAAUUUCUUUAUUGAAAUUUUUAUUCCGAACAGAGAUUUUGUUAUAAAUUUAACAGAAAAACGAGUUGAUGUACGUGAUAACAGGUGAAUAAUAUAAAUACUGGCGGUUUCAAUUAUUAAAGGACCACGAGCUCUAGAGUGGACCCCGAAAUAUCAAAUAUUAGCACAUUUGGUUGUUCUGCAUAACCAAAAUCUAAUGAAGAUAAUUUAUGUUUGGAUUUAGUUAUGUGGUAGGAGGAUAUUUCAUCUGGAGCUUUAGAUUGGGCAAGGUUCAAAGACUGAAGGUAAAUUGCAGGUAAUGAAACCAUAUUAAUCCUUGAUAAUGCAUCUGCAAUGGUAUUAUUUUUCCCAGAGAUGUGUUGAAUAUCCUUAGUGUUUUCUGAAAUAUAUAAAAAAGUGACGUCGUUGACGUGUAGACCAGAGAUCCAAAACUUUAGCCAAAGCAUAUGUCAAUGUUUUGUGAUCCGUAUAAACUGUGAAUUGUCUACCUUUAACAAUAUUUCGAAAAUGCCUUAUAAAUUAAUGCCUUAUGAAAAGAAGGAUAAAUAAUUUCAAGUUUUUUUUUUUAGUUAUUAAAACGCCCAUAACCGCUAUAUCAGAAGUAUCAAAAGAAGAAGCUGAAGCUACGUGGGGAGUAGGAUAUACAAUAGACACAAUCUUUUAAUUGAUGAGAGAUACUUGGCUCAGAAAAGCUUUUACUAGUUUUUGAAAAAAAUAUCGUAGAAGUUUAACCAUACUACCUACAAACCGAUGAUUACAUAUUAAAACCCCUAAGAAUUCGGAACAUUUGCGAGAUUAUACAGAAAAGGAUUAGUUUGAAUUGUUUUGACUUUGUCGGCAAGAGGGGUGGCCCUGAAUAUUUUACAUUAUGACCGAGAUAGUCAAAGUUUGUUGCCCAAUUUAACAUUUUGCUAGAUUAAUGGCUAAUUCGUGUCUUUGAAGUUUGUAGAAAAGUAUUGUCAAAUGUUUUAGAUAUUAUUUAUUGGACGCACUUCUGAUUAAGUUGUCGGCUAGAUAAACGAACACAAAAUCAUGAGCAUUUAAAACAUGAUCCAUAAGUCUUUAGAACGCCUGUGCCCAAUUUUUAAGACCAAAAGGCGUUUGCAAGAAUUCGAAGUGCCAAAAGAGGUAAUGAUGGCUGUUUUUGGUAUAUCCUCAGGGUGUAAUGGAUUCUGAUGAUAACCUUGGAAUUAAUUUACUUUAAAUAAAUUUGAACAAGCCGCUAUGUGGGUUAUAAAAUCCUGUAACUACAGGAGAGGAUAUUGAUCUGCAACUAUGACGUUAGUGAGUCGUCGAAAAUCAUUAAAAAGUCUCAACUUGCUAUUAGUUUUUGGCAAUGUAAUUAGUUUUAGUAAUGGGGAUGCCAAAGUAUUAUUAGAACGUCAUACGGGACAUAGUCUUUUCUAUUUGAAGAUAUUAUUCUCUAGUUAUAUUAUAUAUUUUAAGGAAAGCUGAUGAGCCUUAGCGUAUAAAGGAGGUCCAGUUGUUUCGAUGCUGUGAACAAUCACGGUUUUUUUUCUUUGUUGAAAACUUUGCUUGAAUGUUAUCAAUAUACUAUGACAAAAGUUUUCCAUAAUCAUUGUAAGCAAUAGAUAUUAGUAAGUCCCCCUUUUUAUAUGUCCUAAGCCUAGUAAAUAUCGAUAAAAUACAUAGAGGGGUCAUACUGAGAAGGAGAAAGGGAGAUUUUUUGACUUCGUGAUAGCAUGCGACAGAAAAAAGAUAAUUGUCGCAAACAAUGGAAAACAUAGUAUUUCCUGCUAUAAACUACACUAGUUUAAUAGUAUUAGUAUACCCUUUGUAAAAAUAUCGGUUUUAAGAAAAAAAAUUUAGGUCUUUCAGUCUAUUAAUCAUCAUCUCUACUGAAUCAAACCAAAUAUUAAAACUAAUUCUAUAAUUAUUGAUUCUUAAAUUAAAUUAAAGUAAGAAUAAUCGUUCCAAAUUCAUCAUAAAUAUUUUAAAAGGCUAAAUAAAAUACUUUAGAAACUUAUUGCCAUCUCUAAACUGCUUUGAUUAUGGUAACUAAUUAUUAUAAUACAAUAAUGAUUUAAGAAAAAAUAUUUCAAAGGAAUAAGAGAACAGGAAAAAAAACUUGGAAAAGAAUGGCAAAGCCCUUUAAAUAUAAAAAAACCACCCAAAAGAAAAAUACAAAAGGGUACUUGCCACACAAGAAUUAAACUGCGGAAAUUUGAUCUGAAAUUAUUAAUUAAAAUUAUAGAGACAAGAUAUCAAAGCAAGAAACAAUUCAAAGAAAUUGACCAAAGUAGAAAGAAGACGUACCUUUUACUCAAGCCAGUUGCAAACCUACAAUUCCAGUAAGGGUGCUUAUUUGAGAAUAAUAAUGAUCUACAAAAAACUCAAUCAGCUCUUAACGUUAUUGUAACCGACUACUCCAAAAAAAUGUAUACAGAAUAAUUGUAAAUAAUGUGUAAUUUUUUUUUUAGCCAUCUUGCUAUUUAUUCUUCUAAACAUAAUAUUUGGAACAUAAGAGUUGGUAAAUUUUUUGUAAUAGGGUUAAAAACACUUACGAAGAAAACAUAACAUAAAUAAAAACAAUAUGUAACACUCAAUAUAUUUAACAGAUUAUUGGGUUGAGUUUGCAUUUUCCUACGUUCUAACAAACUAAUAAAGAAGAAAUACAUUAAUAAUGACAUCGAGAAAACGAAACGUCAAAAAAGGAAAAAGGAAAAUAAAACCGAUAGAUCUGAUAGGCAAGCUACCACACGACUGAAGAGAAGAGAGGAUCUCAAUCCAGUUCUCAUAAAUAAUUAUUUAUAAAUUUCACAGUUCAGAACAGUUGAAGCACCCUCAAUGGAACAAAUCGCAGAAGAUUUACAUGUUUGGGUAGUAUAUCGACAUUCUAUGCAGUAAAUUUGUUUAUAGGGUUGAGUUCAAACUUAAGGUCAAAUUUCGUAACCUUCUUAAAUUUAUUUUCACUUGUGUUGUUUUAUAAGAUGUCCUUGUUAUGCUUAUUGAACAUUGCAGAUAUUGUGACUGCUGAUACUCAGUUCUUAUAAUCCUGAUUUAGUAUUGAUGACUGAAAAACAUAUUAAUAAAAAAGAGGUUAUUUAUGCAAUCAAAAACUGACAAAAGGAACAAAUAAGCUGGUAUAUCAGAAAUAGGUUUUGAAAUUAAUCAAAUGUUUGAGGGCGAGUUAACAGUUAUUAAAAAAAAAUCUUUGACCAUAUACUUUUACAAAGACUCAUUCCUCCAUUUGUGUUUGAUGACCUACUCAUAACUAUUCCAAAAGAGGACAAAGACCCCGGAUAUAUCAAAAACUUGAGACCAAUCACCGUACAGAGCACAAUUGAUAAAAUAUUCUCUCACGUGUUCACCGAUAGGCUGAAAUCGACAAUUCCCAAAAUAAUUAUGAAGACUCAGAAAAGUUUAUUGAAAGGGUGUGGGAUGGACGACUUUAAUGUUAAUUGGCAAACAGCUUGCCAAAAAAGUAACGACUGCACUAUUAUUUCUCUCAAUUUUGAAAAAGCAUUUGAUUCAAUAUCACAACAACACCUGAUUAAAACACUAAAAAAUGAGGUGCUUAGAAAUUUUAUAAUCCGAGCAAUGGUGUCAAUGAUGGUGAUAAAAAACUCAAUACAGUAUGGGUAAAAAUUUAAGAACUUUCCAGGAGUCAAGAAUACAUACGGAAGGUGAUCUGAUAGUGACUUUGCUAUUCAUAACUGCAGUUGAUUCUCUUGUCAAUCAAAUAUAAAAUACAAAUUUAUCGAUAAAAAGCCAAUCUAGGGAUGGUAUUUCUGUAUAUACCUACGCAGACAAUACAUCUGUUAUAAUCAAUGGAAACACUGUGUUAAAAAUAGCAUCAUUCAUAUACCUCAAUAGAGUUCUAUUUCAAUCAUCCUUUGGGACAACAUCCAGGCCUACCUUUUUAAUUAAGAGAAGUCGAGCAUAAUCACAAUAAUCCAUAAAUCGUAAAAAUAUAUCGAUCAAUCGUCCAAAUAAGGAUAAGGGUACUUGUUGUAUUCAUUGGAAAUACAGCAUGAGAUGCAACAAGAACGCAAUUCUAUCUAAAAUAUCUCAGCGUACUAGUUUCAUAAAGAAGCUUGGAUUUUAUAAAUGGGAUGGAAUUGAUCUAUGGAACUCCAACGUGAUUUCUGAAUGUCAACAUAUUUUUCAUUUACGUCAAACUGAAUUCUAUCAAAAUUUAUGCAAGGAGGAGGACAAAAUUAUUCUAUGAUUCCAUAAUCUCAGUACGAUAUGCAACAUAUCGAUGAAGAUAAUAAUGUAUCCGAAGAGAUAGGGAGGUUUAGGAAUUAUUCGUUUUUGAGACAUUUGGAAAGCUAUGCUAGCCGAGUAGUGGGUGAAAUGCUUAAAAAGUAAGCCCUUAUGGAAUUACAGUGUCAUAAAUACACACUAAAAAUAGAGAUCUGACGUCAAGGCAUCAAGUCGAUUUUGCAAAAACAAAGUACAGUUAGUUAUAUAAGUAAACUAAUUGCUAAUAAACAGGUAACGUUAUAAUUGCUUGAACUAUCUUGGGGCAUAAAUGCACUUCUAGUUGAUGCAUUUACAGAAGUGAAUCCUUCGCUUUUGAGAAAUGGUGUGGAAGUUCUUGGAGACCUGAGGGGAUUACAUCCCAAUCUUUGUUCUACAGUUACUUUUGUGUGGUUGCAGAGGAAAACCCAUUUGAAGCUACCUUCUUUAAGUAAUAUCUCAUUCAGGAGGGAGGUAAGAGACAUAAGUGUGAAGUUGAUUCGAAGAUUAUGGUUGCAUUCGUCAGUUGGUGUAGUAAAGUCUUUACUAAAUUGUAGGAGCCUUGAUGUCUCCACUCCUCAUUAUUUGUAUGAGCUAUACAAAUCGUAUCCUUACUCGAUCUGACAAAUGGUUCAAGUAUCGAGUAGUGACAGGAACACUGGAGGUACCAGGAUACCUAUCAGAUAACCCUAAUGGUUAUUUCUGCAACUCAGAAAGAGAAACGGAUUCACACUUCCUGUAGGAGUGCCCAAUUCUCCAAGAAAAUAUCGAACAUGAAGUUUUAACAAUCAAUGAAAUGUAACUUCAAAAGUGAAAAAUAAUAGGAUUAACAUUUUCCUCUAUUCAGUGCCUUACCUUUAGGAAGAAAAUUUCACUUCUUUUAUGAAGCAAUGCGAAGGAAAGUUUUCUUUAACUAAUAAAGAAUCCUUUUCCUAGACCAGCAGUAAAAUUGAUGCAUUAUUUAAAUUAUUUAAUAGUAUACAAAUAGUGAUUCAUGAACAUCUAAAGUUUGCCAACUAGUACAUCAGAAAAUUAUGUCCAUAAAUAUAUUUAUAUAUGCUUUAAUCCUUACAACUUUGACGUUAGUUAUAUUAAAGUCUGUUUGAAUCAAUAUGAUUUACAUUUAUGAACACACUGGGUUUAAGCUGACUUAAGAUUCAGGCGAUAAUAAAAGCCUAUAAUGGUCGAAUUAUAGUUAGUACAACUAAAAUAUUUAAUACUAUUGUAAGUAAGAGUAAUAUUUACAAGUUAAUAAUAUUAAGAUUUGUAAAAAAACCCGUAAAAGUGUAAAAAAAUACUCUGAAAUGCAAAUAAUAUAAAUAUGUCAUGUAAGAAAGUAAUUAACUAUAAUUUGCUUGAGUUCAGCUUCAUUCCUCUGGCGUAUUGAGGUAUAGAAUUUCAGAGACUAGCAGAUCUAUAAUAGAAAUAUGCUUUAAAAUGUCUUUAUUUGGCUUUGGGAGGUAGAUGGUGUUUUGAUCCUAAAGGUUCGUUUCGUUGAACAGGUAGCCUAAAGGCUACCUCUUCAAAAAAAAAAAACAAUGUUGUUCAUAAUCUAGAGUGUGAGAAAUAUGUUAGUUCUUUUUUUUAAAAUUCUAUGGAGUAUCAUCACAUUUUUAAUGGCACGUCUUUGCAAUAGAGCGAUGAAGCAAAUUAUUUUGCUUCACGAUUUAAUGUCGUUGUUGAUUUUAGAAAAAAAUGGCAAAAUUCUUUAAAAGUGAUAUAAUACCAUUUCCGUUCAUUUGAGUAUCAUUUAUUUCAGCAAGGAUUAUCUUAGCGACAUUUAUUUGAACAAGUAUUCAUAAGGGAAAGCUUCAUUUCAAUAUAUUAAUAUGGUAAAUAUUAUGAAAUAAAUUAAGUCAUUAUUGGACGUAGUUAUUAAACGUAAUUACACAUCACACACCAGAGCGGUGUUCAAAAUCAAAUUAGAGAAGUCUGGAAGGAGAAACUGAGGUUCUUAUCGGAUUUUGUCUUAUCUCCGUAAUCUUAUUUGGAGGGAUGAAUUUACAAAACAUGUUGAGUGGGAUGGCAAACAAACACUUCAAUCUACGUUUCAUCUUAGAGAGAAAGCUCCACGGUUGUUGGGACGGAUCUUUGGGUUGCUCAUUUAUCAAUCUCCUAGCUUUAAUGAAUGUAGAAAUAUUCA